GAUGAAGAACGCAGCGAAAUGCGAUAAGUAAUGUGAAUUGCAGAAUUCAGUGAAUCAUCGAAUCUUUGAACGCACAUUGCGCCCCCCAGUAUUCUGGCGGGCAUGCCUGUUCGAGCGUCAUUUCAACCAUCAAGCCCUGCUUGUGUUGGGGUCCUGCGGCUGCCCGCAGGCCCUGAAAACCAGUGGCGGGCUCGCUAGUCACACCGAGCGCAGUAGCACAUCUCGCUCAGGGCGUGCGGCGGGCUCCAGCCGUUAAAGCACCCACCUUUCGCAAGGUUGACCUCGGAUCAGGUAGGAAUACCCGCUGAACUUAAGCAUAUCAAUAAGCGUAGGA
rnacentral:misc_RNA from 1 species